rnacentral:rRNA from 1 species
GGUUAAGCGACUAAGCGUACACGGUGGAUGCCCUGGCAGUCAGAGGCGAUGAAGGACGUGCUAAUCUGCGAUAAGCGUCGGUAAGGUGAUAUGAACCGUUAUAACCGGCGAUUUCCGAAUGGGGAAACCCAGUGUGAUUCGUCACACUAUCAUUAACUGAAUCCAUAGGUUAAUGAGGCGAACCGGGGGAACUGAAACAUCUAAGUACCCCGAGGAAAAGAAAUCAACCGAGAUUCCCCCAGUAGCGGCGAGCGAACGGGGAGCAGCCCAGAGCCUGAAUCAGUGUGUGUGUUAGUGGAAGCGUCUGGAAAGGCGUGCGAUACAGGGUGACAGCCCCGUACACAAAAAUGCACAUGCUGUGAGCUCGAUGAGUAGGGCGGGACACGUGGUAUCCUGUCUGAAUAUGGGGGGACCAUCCUCCAAGGCUAAAUACUCCUGACUGACCGAUAGUGAACCAGUACCGUGAGGGAAAGGCGAAAAGAACCCCGGCGAGGGGAGUGAAAAAGAACCUGAAACCGUGUACGUACAAGCAGUGGGAGCACAGAGCAAUCUGUGUGACUGCGUACCUUUUGUAUAAUGGGUCAGCGACUUAUAUUCUGUAGCAAGGUUAACCGAAUAGGGGAGCCGAAGGGAAACCGAGUCUUAACUGGGCGUUAAGUUGCAGGGUAUAGACCCGAAACCCGGUGAUCUAGCCAUGGGCAGGUUGAAGGUUGGGUAACACUAACUGGAGGACCGAACCGACUAAUGUUGAAAAAUUAGCGGAUGACUUGUGGCUGGGGGUGAAAGGCCAAUCAAACCGGGAGAUAGCUGGUUCUCCCCGAAAGCUAUUUAGGUAGCGCCUCGUGAAUUCAUCUCCGGGGGUAGAGCACUGUUUCGGCAAGGGGGUCAUCCCGACUUACCAACCCGAUGCAAACUGCGAAUACCGGAGAAUGUUAUCACGGGAGACACACGGCGGGUGCUAACGUCCGUCGUGAAGAGGGAAACAACCCAGACCGCCAGCUAAGGUCCCAAAGUCAUGGUUAAGUGGGAAACGAUGUGGGAAGGCCCAGACAGCCAGGAUGUUGGCUUAGAAGCAGCCAUCAUUUAAAGAAAGCGUAAUAGCUCACUGGUCGAGUCGGCCUGCGCGGAAGAUGUAACGGGGCUAAACCAUGCACCGAAGCUGCGGCAGCGACGCUUAUGCGUUGUUGGGUAGGGGAGCGUUCUGUAAGCCUGCGAAGGUGUGCUGUGAGGCAUGCUGGAGGUAUCAGAAGUGCGAAUGCUGACAUAAGUAACGAUAAAGCGGGUGAAAAGCCCGCUCGCCGGAAGACCAAGGGUUCCUGUCCAACGUUAAUCGGGGCAGGGUGAGUCGACCCCUAAGGCGAGGCCGAAAGGCGUAGUCGAUGGGAAACAGGUUAAUAUUCCUGUACUUGGUGUUACUGCGAAGGGGGGACGGAGAAGGCUAUGUUGGCCGGGCGACGGUUGUCCCGGUUUAAGCGUGUAGGCUGGUUUUCCAGGCAAAUCCGGAAAAUCAAGGCUGAGGCGUGAUGACGAGGCACUACGGUGCUGAAGCAACAAAUGCCCUGCUUCCAGGAAAAGCCUCUAAGCAUCAGGUAACAUCAAAUCGUACCCCAAACCGACACAGGUGGUCAGGUAGAGAAUACCAAGGCGCUUGAGAGAACUCGGGUGAAGGAACUAGGCAAAAUGGUGCCGUAACUUCGGGAGAAGGCACGCUGAUAUGUAGGUGAAGUCCCUCGCGGAUGGAGCUGAAAUCAGUCGAAGAUACCAGCUGGCUGCAACUGUUUAUUAAAAACACAGCACUGUGCAAACACGAAAGUGGACGUAUACGGUGUGACGCCUGCCCGGUGCCGGAAGGUUAAUUGAUGGGGUCAGCGCAAGCGAAGCUCUUGAUCGAAGCCCCGGUAAACGGCGGCCGUAACUAUAACGGUCCUAAGGUAGCGAAAUUCCUUGUCGGGUAAGUUCCGACCUGCACGAAUGGCGUAAUGAUGGCCAGGCUGUCUCCACCCGAGACUCAGUGAAAUUGAACUCGCUGUGAAGAUGCAGUGUACCCGCGGCAAGACGGAAAGACCCCGUGAACCUUUACUAUAGCUUGACACUGAACAUUGAGCCUUGAUGUGUAGGAUAGGUGGGAGGCUUUGAAGUGUGGACGCCAGUCUGCAUGGAGCCGACCUUGAAAUACCACCCUUUAAUGUUUGAUGUUCUAACGUUGACCCGUAAUCCGGGUUGCGGACAGUGUCUGGUGGGUAGUUUGACUGGGGCGGUCUCCUCCUAAAGAGUAACGGAGGAGCACGAAGGUUGGCUAAUCCUGGUCGGACAUCAGGAGGUUAGUGCAAUGGCAUAAGCCAGCUUGACUGCGAGCGUGACGGCGCGAGCAGGUGCGAAAGCAGGUCAUAGUGAUCCGGUGGUUCUGAAUGGAAGGGCCAUCGCUCAACGGAUAAAAGGUACUCCGGGGAUAACAGGCUGAUACCGCCCAAGAGUUCAUAUCGACGGCGGUGUUUGGCACCUCGAUGUCGGCUCAUCACAUCCUGGGGCUGAAGUAGGUCCCAAGGGUAUGGCUGUUCGCCAUUUAAAGUGGUACGCGAGCUGGGUUUAGAACGUCGUGAGACAGUUCGGUCCCUAUCUGCCGUGGGCGCUGGAGAACUGAGGGGGGCUGCUCCUAGUACGAGAGGACCGGAGUGGACGCAUCACUGGUGUUCGGGUUGUCAUGCCAAUGGCACUGCCCGGUAGCUAAAUGCGGAAGAGAUAAGUGCUGAAAGCAUCUAAGCACGAAACUUGCCCCGAGAUGAGUUCUCCCUGACUCCUUGAGAGUCCUGAAGGAACGUUGAAGACGACGACGUUGAUAGGCCGGGUGUGUAAGCGCAGCGAUGCGUUGAGCUAACCGGUACUAAUGAACCGUGAGGCUUAACCUU